rnacentral:rRNA from 1 species
UGGGGAAUAUUGGACAAUGGGCGCAAGCCUGAUCCAGCCAUGCCGCGUGUGUGAAGAAGGCCUUAUGGUUGUAAAGCACUUUAAGCGAGGAGGAGGCUACUUUAGUUAAUACCUAGAGAUAGUGGACGUUACUCGCAGAAUAAGCACCGGCUAACUCUGUGCCAGCAGCCGCGGUAAUACAGAGGGUGCGAGCGUUAAUCGGAUUUACUGGGCGUAAAGCGUGCGUAGGCGGCUGAUUAAGUCGGAUGUGAAAUCCCUGAGCUUAACUUAGGAAUUGCAUUCGAUACUGGUCAGCUAGAGUAUGGGAGAGGAUGGUAGAAUUCCAGGUGUAGCGGUGAAAUGCGUAGAGAUCUGGAGGAAUACCGAUGGCGAAGGCAGCCAUCUGGCCUAACACUGACGCUGAGGUACGAAAGCAUGGGGAGCAAACAGG